AAUCCCUGCAUUGAACAUUUCUGAAGUAAUUACUUAAAUCAUCCCCAAGCUUCAUAUAGUGUUUCAUCCUGUAACUGCCAAAAAUAUGUGAUGUCAUUUCUAAGUUU
rfam:Gossypium raimondii Chr11_contig_876, whole genome shotgun sequence.